CACUUGCUUGGCUGCUUCAGGCCUAUCUACCACACCUGUCCUCUGUUAACUUCUUCCUUAACCUUUGCCCAUCUGGACAACCUGACCACCUUGAAAGAAAGAGCAAGCUGGCCCAUUCUUGCUGCUCUCCAAAUAAACAGGUUCUCCUGGCAUGGGAGCCAGGCCCAGAAUGGCAAAGCCUAAUUAGAAGAGCCAUAUGAGCAGCUUCUGUCCUUUGACAUGGAGUUUCUCUCAAAAUGACACCUGUGUGAGCUAUUGGAAAGGAAGCUCAUGGACUUACUUAAUUCUCAUAACCACAGGAACAAAACCAAGGAGGAAUUUCCUGAGUUUUGCCUGCAGCACAUAAAAAAGAGAAGAGGCACUGCUGUUUUUUUUUUCCCCAGGCUGCAGAAAAUCUCUGAGCUGUUCUUGUAGACUUCUCCAGUUCUUGUUCUAGACUGUAUGGAGCAGGCCUCUUAUGAAGAAGGAAUGCAGGAAUAUUGCCUCUCCAUCAGCACCAUCACAUGUGAGCCUUUUCACCAGUUAGCCUGUUAUGCCGUGAUUUGUCUGGAAGAGGAAGCAUCAAGCCUGCGUACCUUGUGGAACUGUACCACGGCAGCCAUCAGACCGUCCUGUCUGCCUCAGCUACGUCUGGGUGCAGACUGGAGGAGCACAUCAGAGUUGAAGCGGUCGGACAGUGAUGCACCCCGAUACCUCUCCAGAUGGGACCCUGCCAUGCUGCGGAGCCCGUCGAAGCACCCGGCUGACAGGCACCUGCCUCACGUUUGGAGGUGCGUGCCUUGCUGAGUUCUACCGGGGGCAGAAAUUCCUAGACGAGGGAGCCCGCAGCCGGGGAAGCAUCUGAGUGCAGCACACAGGGACCAUCCAUACCCAGGCACCAUCUGAAGAUCUCUUUUUGCUGAAACUUUGCUUCUGAUGAUGAAGCUUUCUGCCUUGCUGGUGUUACUUCUCAGGGAGUGAUUCCCAAACCAGUGCCAUCUCCCAAAGCCUGCUAACACCCCAGUAGCUGGAGCAAGUAAGAGCUGGUUUUGUUGGCAGCAUGCUGUGGUCACAGCUCAUCAGCUCUGACUUUAAAAUGGGUUUCUGGGUGCCUGAGGCUGCCCAGCCACAGCCUGACCCAGCUGCCCGGCCACAGCAGCAUCACUUAACCCACCUUGGUCAUGCUGGAAAGGAGCAGCGCUCCCCACACAACUGCUGCCAAGGACUCCUAUAUUCUAAUCCUUCCUUUGUUAUAGUUCAUUAUUUAUAAACAUUUGUCACUCUGUUUUUGUAAUAGUGUGCAAUUUAUAAUUACUGCUUUAUUCCAUUACUUUCUUUAUGUGGGUGCAUCCUCAGUAUUGUUCACAAGCAGGAAGUCUGGUGGAAACUUCAGCUUGAUGCAGAAUGAGGCAGCCCCCCUAGAAAUCAGCAGACCCAGCCCAUGGUUAUAAUAUGGUGGAUUCUUACCCCUCCAUCCAUUCGUGAAUUGAGCUCCUUCCGAUCAUUAACUGCAUUGUGUGUGUUUGUUAAUUAACUGCUAAUGGGCUUUCUGCUGUAUCUGCACAGUAGGUACCAGUACAUAAAACAGCUAAGCUUAAAGUUUUUUUCCUGGAAAUAUUACAGAAAUAAACAAACAUCUAUGCGCAUUAACUUUUUUCUUUUCACAUAUCGAAUACCCACCAUAUGCUAUAUGCUUUAAAUGACAUCAGUCCCUGUGCUUCCAAGAUAAAGACGGAAAUCGAGGAUUUAAAAUUCAUACAAGUGUAAAUGCCUAUUGAAAGCUGCAUUUUGUCCCACACAGCAGCAAAGUAUCCAAUAAGUUUUCAUUAGCAAAACAGUAAGAUACAGACAUUUUGAUGAUGCAUGUUUGGUAUUAAGAAAAGAAAAAGAGAAUUUAUAGUGGAGAGAUUAAAGGGUGAACAACUACGGAAUUUAAAAAGAUAGGGUAUGUAAAAUGUGAAGAAGCUGUGCAAGGCCACAGAUCUGUUGUGAUCAAGUCUGUGUUGUUUAAGAACUUACCAGAAAUUUUAACUAGUGGGUUUAAUUCUGUCAUCCCUAAAGGCAGUAACUUCCAGCUAAUGCUCUGCAGAUGCUUGUACCACUGAAAUCCAUCCCCAGGGGGUUUCCAGUGAAGCCCAUAGUAUGACACGGUCACCUGGUUGUUUGUAUCUGUAUGUAGAGGUGUGAGCCCAAACCUUUAGCAAA